CGAGCAGAUUCAUGAUCGAUGGCUUCCUCCCUGCCCCGUCUCUCCAAGCCUGUGAGCCCCCUUGAAAGAUGCCAACAAAAACUCUUAACCUCCCCUUGCCCAUCUGCUAUCUACAGUAGAUGGUAAUUUUCCUGCUGACAGGUGAUGGGGGGGAAAGCAGGAGAAGCCACAAUGCUAUCAACUUCCACCAAUCGGCUUUCCUUGACUGGCACUCUCAGUAAGGACCAAUUGUCAGCCUCUUGGCCUCUAAAUCAGAUCAGCAAAGAAACGGUUGGAUCACGGCGUUGUAAGAAGCUACUGCCUAAAUCACUGGUAAGAAAACAGCCAUUGCUAACCCACCCACCUCUUCGUUAAGAUUCAGAAAAAAGCGAGAGAGGAGAGGACGAAAGCCGGAUAGCUGCAGCUGCGUGGAUGAGGCGCAAGUGGAAACCCUCCGUCUUGCGCUUGCGUGUAUUUUUUUUUUUUUUUAAUACCGGUAAAGGGAAUUUCCUGAAAAAUAAAGCAGCGUUGCUUCCCCA